AUGGCUCUUUCUUCAAUUUUACCAUGUGAUGCUGCACGCGACUUAGUAGCAGUUAAUAAGUUUUCUUUUAUUUGCGAACACUGUACAACUACGCCCCAUUUUCCAUUAGACGACCCAUUUCUCCGACCCAUUUUUCCGCGACGCCUACCGCUGCCAACACCGUCGCCGCCAACACCGUCAACGACUCCAACACCCAACACCGUCAACGGCUCACCGUCGCCGCCCGAUUCAUCGCCGUUUCAACGGUUCACCGUCGCCGCCCGAUUCAUCGCCGUUUCAACUGAUUCCUCGCCGCCUGAUUCAUCGUCGUUUCAACUCUAUAAAAUGAGGCUUCUUUGA